AGACAAUUAAAACGCACCAUUGGUUCCGGAAGCCCACAACCAAACCCAGAUAUGAUUGCUCGACGGGAUUUUACAUGACCCUUUCCGUCAUCAAAUUGUUUACAUUAAUGGUCUUUUUCAAUUUAGCCAAGUUUCAACGUGAUUUAUUUAUUUUUAAAGCUGUAAUGUAGUCUGACGAGUUGACAUCGAUAUUUGUAUUAAUUUUUUAUUAAAAAUGUAGUUUCAACUUUUUCCACUAUAGCGACUAUUCAGACGUCGAUUUCCCCCAGAGCGGCAGAAGUGGAGCGGCGGAGCGGCGGAGCGGCAGAGCGGCAGAAGUGGAUCGGAGCGGCAGAGUGGCAGCAGAGCGGCAGCAGCGCACCGCUCGUUGCGCGUCGGCUGCUCGUUGCGCGCGAGCCUCCGCGGUGACGAGACGUUCCCGAGGACCUACCGACCGACUGCGCUUGGCAAAAAUGGAAAUUAAACCGAUGUUUGGAGUAAAUACUCGGUGCGAAACUAUGAUGCCAUGAAAGAUGUGACGAUAGGACUUGUCCUGGAUGGAGGCGCGACCAACACGACACUCAACCCACCCGGAAGAGAAAGGACCUGAAGAUGAAGGACGUUUUUUCUGGGCAGAAGAAAGAAGAGUUUGAAGGCUUCGCACACACAAGGCGACGAUAGAUAGCAAGGGGAACACUAGGUAAGAAAAACACUAUCCUCGUAGCAGUGAACAGAACAUCAUGUUUGUUGUGUCAGAGAAUGCCUUCUUAAAUCUAGUUCAAACCUUUGGGUCACUGUUACCUAAAUUAAAGCUUAAUACUGAACAAACGUAAAAAAGGUUUCUCAGAAAGUACCAUUGGGCUGUGACCAUGAGGAUAACCCUUCCCCCCGUCUUCUUAGAACUUUCCAG
ensembl:lncRNA